rnacentral:rRNA from 1 species
CGGAUUGAAGGCUGAAAUUACGCCUUCAUGAAGCUGGAAUUGCUAGUAAUGGCAGGUCAGCAUACUGCCGUGAAUACGUUCCCGGGCCCUUGUACACACCGCCCGUCACACCAUGAGAGUUGGAAAUACCCGAAGCCUGUGAGCUAACUUAAAGAGGCAGCAGUCGAAGGUAGAGCCAAUGAUUGGGGUGAAGUCGUAACAAGGUAAC